GACAAACCUAAACUCCAAACUCUGUACCCCAAACUUGGCAGAUCUUUUUUCCCCUCCCCCAGUUCUGGGAUUGGACCCAGGCACAUGCUACCACCAAGCUUCACCCCCAGCCCUUUCAUUAAACCUUUUUGAGACAGAGCCUUGCUAAGUUACCGAAGCUGGCCUUGAACUUGUGAUCCUCCAGCCUCAGCGACCUGAGUAGCUGGGAUUUCAGGUGUGUGCCUUUUAAGCACCUGGCUUAAAAGAGAAGCAUAUGUUCGACCUUCCCUGAUGCCCUACUAUGGUACCUUGUACCAACUUCCAUUCCACCAGCCGUGCAGGAGAUUUUUCAAACCCCCACAGCCACACCAAGACUUGGAGUUACGAGAUUUACCUUUUUUCCUCAGCCAAAGCGUCUCUCACUCAGGUUUUUAAUUGCUUUUCU
rnacentral:lncRNA from 1 species